CCAGAGAACUUAGCAGAGAUGCUUUGGUGCCUUCGGGAACUCUGAGACAGGUGCUGCAUGGCUGUCGUCAGCUCGUGUUGUGAAAUGUUGGGGUUAAGUCCCGCAACGAGCGCAACCCUUAUCCUUUGUGCCAGCGGCUCGGCCGGGAACUCAAAGGAGACUGCCGGUGAUAAACCGGAGGAAGGUGGGGAUGACGUCAAGUCAUCAUGGCCCUUACGGCCAGGGCUACACACGUGCUACAAUGGCGCAUACAAAGAGAAGCGACCUCGCGAGAGCAAGCGGACCUCACAAAGUGCGUCGUAGUCCGGAUUGGAGUCUGCAACUCGACUCCAUGAAGUCGGAAUCGCUAGUAAUCGUAGAUCAGAAUGCUACGGUGAAUACGUUCCCGGGCCUUGUACACACCGCCCGUCACACCAUGGGAGUGGGUUGCAAAAGAAGUAGGUAGCUUAACCUUCGGGAGGGCGCUUACCACUUUGUGAUUCAUGACUGGGGUGAAGUCGUAACAAGGUAGGCGUAGCGAG
rnacentral:rRNA from 1 species